rnacentral:rRNA from 1 species
UACGAAGGGUGCAAGCGUUAAUCGGAAUUACUGGGCGUAAAGCGCGCGUAGGUGGUUCAGUAAGUUGGAAGUGAAAUCCCCGGGCUCAACCAGGGAACUGCUUUCAAAACUGCUGAGCUAGAGUACGGUAGAGGGUGGUGGAAUUUCCUGUGUAGCGGUGAAAUGCGUAGAUAUAGGAAGGAACACCAGUGGCGAAGGCGACCACCUGGACUGAUACUGACACUGAGGUGCGAAAGCGUGGGGAGCAAACAGG